rnacentral:rRNA from 1 species
CGGGGAGCUUGCACAGGUGCUGCAUGGCUGUCGUCAGCUCGUGUCGUGAGAUGUUCGGUUAAGUCCGCUAACGAGCGCAACCCUCACUGUGUGUUAUAUGUGUCACACGGGACUGCCGGUUUUAAGCCGGAGGAAGGUGGGAUGACGUCAAGUCAGCAUGGCCUUUAUAUCCUGGGCUACACACACGCUACAAUGGUCGGUACAAUAGGUUGCCAAGCCGCGAGGCGGAGCCAAUCCACAAAGCCGGCCUCAGUUCAGAUUGUAGGCUGCAACUCGCCUGCAUGAAGAUGGAGUUGCUAGUAACCGCAGGUCAGCAAUACUGCGGUGAAUACGUUCCCGGGUCUU